AGUUUUAUUCUUGCUAAAGUGUUCAGUAUUUUCUUAUUUUAUAUGUAAGUUGUUGCAUGAUUGUUUUUUCUCUUUCUUAAUGGUAGUUAAAGUUUAUGUUGAUAUAAGUCACAUUAUUUAUUAUUAUAAAUCUUGGCCUCUUGGAUUUAGUAAUGGUUAUUAGUACUGGUUAAGUUUGUGCCAGCAGCCGCGGUUAUACAUUAAGUGCUAUUGAAUAUUUUCGGUUUUGUAGUUAUAUAAUUUGUUUUUGGCUUGAGGGGUUUUAUUUUUAGGUGGAAUUAUUAAUUUUUGGUUAUUGCCUAUUUACUUAUUUUAAGCUAUGAAAUCUUUUUAUUAAACUAGGAUUAGAUACCCUAUUAUUUUUGAUGUAAAUUUUAUUUCCUGGGUAGUAUUAGUUAUGAUCUUGAAACUUAAAGAAUUUGGCGGUGUCCUAUUCCUUUCAGAGGAAUCUGCCCUUUUAUCGAUAGCCCGCGUUGGACCUUACUCAUAUUUUGUUUGUAUACCGCCGUUAUAGUGAAGAUCUUUAUAGUGUGGAAAUUUUCUAGAUUCAUGAGUUUGAUUUAUUUCAGGUCAAGGUGCAGCUUGUUUUUGAGUUUGAGGUGGAUUACACUGUUAUUUGAUUAUUGGAUUAUUAGUUGAUACUAUUAGUAGGAAAUUGGAUUUGAUUGUAAUCUGUUGAAGAUUGUUUGGAUGAUCAUGGUUCUAGGACAUGCACACAUCGCCCGUCACUCUCAUUAUUUGUUGAGAUAAGUCGUAACAAAGUGGUCGUACCGGAAGGUGUGGCUGGAAUGAU
rnacentral:ncRNA from 1 species